AAAGAAACUGAACUGUCUAUCAUGAGGAAGACGCGGUGCUCAAGUUCAUUAUAGGUAAUGGGGAAAACAAGAUAAUGAGGCUCCAAAUAUGAGCUUUUUUCCUAUAAUAUGAAGCGCCAGAUGAAAAGGAAGGCGGAAAAUAGUCUGAUUGGAUUUGGGGUUUAUUUAUUUUAUGCUUAUGUAACAGUCAUCGCACUCUGGUUAAAGGGUAGACCCCUCCCAGCUACGUCAGCAAAUCUCCUUAUAAGAGGGAGGAAAUAAGAGCUUUUCAUCAGCAUCGUUUCCGGCAGUUUUCUCCACAGGUAAGGUGAAGGAUUAAAAGAAGAAGGAAACUUUGACCUUGCUGCCAGCUUGUUUUUCAUUUUAAAAUGAGGAGGAGAAAAAAAAUUCUCCCACACGUACAAACACACAAAUCAUCUCUUUUCCCUCAUCUUAGCCUCGCUGUUGGCUGCAAAAAGGGCCCUGCUGAUGUUUCAGCCUUAUUUAUGCAAAUCCCAUUUUGCGGUUCAGUCAAAAUAGAGUAUUGGUCUCUCUUUCUAGCUCUAUUUCUCUCCUACCCGCCCUCCGUCUGCUCGGCCUCCAUCUCAAGAGCCGCCUCAGCCCAUUAUUUGUUUAGGGCGAUAUCAGACACAUUAUUUCCACCUCUCCCCGCAGUUUUCUGCAAGAAUACACAAAACGAGCGGCCAUCAGUGACGUUGCGAAGAAGCAGCAGCUAACUGUCAAUAGUAGAAAAACCACCGUGUGUCUUCACACAGCAUCACAAUUUGCACCCUCCUGGUGAUUGAACAAGCUAAAUCAGGAGAGCAAUGUAAAACUUGGGAACACAACCUGUUGAAAAAUAUUUUUCCAUUGACUUAAUUUUUGUUUUUAAUGUCUAAAAUUCUAUCAGGAUGAUUCAUCUGAACCCUAAAGAAAUAAGAACCUAUCUAGACGUCUUGAAUCGAAUUUUGAUUAGAAGCUACAGAUGGCAAAGCAGUUAUUAGUGAUUUAUACUUUUCUAUGAAUCCAUCAGAGUCAACUUUAUUAUUUUUUAGUGACAUCUACAGUAUUUUAUCCAAUUCACUCCCGAUGGCAUGGAUCCAAUCAGAUAUCACAUUUGUAUCCAAAAGAGAUGGCUAAUCACAGAGCUGAUAUCGUGCUGAUGCCACGGUAACAGUCAUUGAGCCAGAGUCCCUAGUUUUGUGUUGCUGCAGAUCAUCUUUUGGCCGAUUUUAGUCUAUAGGGUUAAGCUUACAGCCAAAAAGAUAAAAUUAAACUAUACAUGGUUAUCUCAUAGAUUUACAGUUUUAUAUAUAGUUUUUGCUGUGUGUCUUGAGCAAACAUUAAGACCUUUUAAAGUUAUAUUAGACAAGAAAUUAGCUUUGGCUAAUGAACAAGGUGGCUUUCAGAAAUUUGCUUUAUUAUUAUAAGUCUCUGUCAUAAAAUGUGCAAGAACUGGAAAUGUCAAGAGCUUGUAGGAAGAAACAGGGUCAAAUAUUUUCCAUCUGUUAAGUACAUAGAGCGGCUGUGCUUACAGUUAGCAAUGCUAACUGUGCUAAUCGCCCACAAAAGUCUUUAACACUGUUUAAAAGCGUCACUUUUACGCAUUUCUGACUUUGCUUCACAAAUAUCUUACAGCUCCUCUUUAUUGGGCUGGUUCUGGUGCCACGUUUUCAGUCUUUUACAUUCACAUGCUAACAAUUAACACUUCACUGCAGGAGAACUGUUACCAAGUAAUGUCACUGGAUCCAGAGGCUUUCAAGGAAACAGAACUGUAUUUGUAAUAUAUUACAAAUAUUUUACCAAGAUCAGUAAUAUUAAUAUUUCAAACAAUGCAAUAUUUAUUGUUGAAUGUGUUUAAGGUGUCAGGCAUUCACUUUUUCUCUACUCAGAACCCCUACAAGUCUAGGACUAUGUAAGUUAACCUAAUAACCUGCAUCUUCAAAUAGUGUAUUUGCAACUUACACCUGUAACUUGAAAAUUUAAGCAAGUCAGACAAAAUUUAAGCCACAACCUCAAACACGGGAAACCAUAAGCUUUAUAUGGACUAUUUUUGAAAAAAAUCACUUGGGUUGUCGCUAACUGCCAUUGGAUGGAAGCCAAAUGUAAAUUUUUAGUGGAUGAGAUGUUGAAGAUGCCUAAAAAUAGUGAUGCAAUUGUAAUAAUUAAAAAAGAAAAGAAUUAGGAAAAUAGAGGUUAAUUAUACUCAAUCUUGUCAUCACAAUAUUCAGAAAUAACACAAUUACAUGUUUUUCUGAUGUCACACAGGCCUUGUUUCAACAGAUAUUCCAAGUACAGAUGAUGGGAUCAGAGCCAAAAAAAACUUUAUUGAAGCAGCACACACCUGGAGACUUUAAUCAUUAAAAUACUCAAAUCCUCUCCAGCAAUCUAUCGGGUUAGGUUCUCCACAGUGAUACAAAGAGACACAAGGGAUACAGAAACUCAUUGGGCGAUUUUGAGUAACUAACCUUUCAAUCAUGUGUUUGGGCUGUGGGAGGAAGUUGGAAUACCAGGGAAGAACCCACAUGUUCGAAUAGAAAAACCUGGCAACUCCAUGUAGAGAGACCCCAGAGUGGGAUUUAAACCAAUAACCUUCAAGCUGAAAGGCAACAGUUCUACCAACCAGUAUAUGAUUAUUAUUAUUUUAUUGUAUAUUAUAUGUUGUAUUACACUGCAUUUCAAGUGCAAUACCAUUAGCAGUGAAGUGUGUUUACUGAAUUAUUAGGGUCAAUAAUAAAUUGAGGACAUCCAUGUUUAACUUGGGUCUUUAUUGAUAACAAGAAAACAAAAACUUGAAGUACAACUGGCUGUUCAUGUCUCUGCUUGAGAUGCAACAAAAGGCAGAACAUGAGGCAAUAACACAAAUGCAAAUAAGGACUUGCUCAAUGCUCAGAACAAUGACAUCGGUUAGACAUUCAUACCUCCCCCUCUGACUCAGGAAACACUCACCUGUUGAGGUGACUUCCUGAGAACACUAUUUUAGCACGCCACACCCUGCAUUAGCACUCAUGAUUAGCUCUCAGUGCACACAGAAUGCGAGGAAUGCCGCAUGUCGCUAAAGACAGAGCUUCAGCAUUUGAUAUGAUGCAUCUUCCCUGACAGAAAUGACGACAGAGACUCAACUUCCAGAAUCUACGACCGGUGUCCUGUCCCCACCGAAACCAGGUUUUACCUUGACCCUGAAUUGAAUCGUUAGGACUACAGUAGUCGCAGCUAUUUCUGCUGAUCUGCCCAGCGUUUCCUCACUCAUCACCCCCACUUUCGGCUCCUCUGCUCUUCUGGUCAGCAGACGAUGUCCCUCCAUCCCCAGGGAGGCGACAUGUGUAUACUGUCACAUUCUGUCAUAUACAAACGUGCUGACAGAAGCCUCACCGUGUCCGUCACAAGAACGGAGGUGGCAAUGCAAACAGGACGGGAGAGGGGUGCCACACAGAUCUACUGCUCCAAGUGAGGGGAAAGAGGUGGGGGGUCAUUAAACAACUCUCUCUCUUGACAGAGCAAGAGGGUGGGUGUCUGUGUCCCAGACGUGGACGCUCACACACACAGCUGAGUCACUAGUGACACAUCUGCUAGCGUAAGCUGGGCACGGUGCCAUGUGUGGCGGCCAGCUCGAGCAGCAGGCUUAGCAAUCGGCUCCCUGGCUCGCUCCGUCUAACACACACACACACACUUCACCUCGCGCUUCCAUCUCUGCCCAUCUGCCCUCCGUCUCCUCAACAAGAGGUCUUUCUCACACAACUACUCAAUCUUCUAAAGGAAAUGAAACAAUAAAACUGAAAGACCAGCAACUGUGUACCUCUGGUUGCAAAAAGGGGCAUAAAAUCGCUAGAAAAAUGUCAAAUUGGAAUGAAGGAUAAGCAUUUUACAAUAAUUUGAAUAGCAUUAUUAAACAAUGUUGCUUAAAAACAAGAAAAUUAAUCAAAGAAACUUGCAUAAUUUCUGCUUCAAUGAGGGUGCUUAUACCUUUAUCUUGUAUUACAUAUUAAUAUUCCAUAUUAAUAUGUAAUAUGUACUAGCUUUAGGACCAAGGAUGGGCUUGUUAUUGACAUCAGGAAAUACAGAUGUUUAAUUUGCAAUGGUUUCAAAACUGCUAACACUUUCCAUCACACAACUCCUGCAAUUUAAAGUAGCGAUGCACCAAUCUGACUUUUUUGGUAGAAACAUUUCUCUAGUUACAUUAUUCCUUUGCAUGCAAUACAACUUAUGUCCUUAAUUUUUAUAAGAUUUUUAUCUGACAUGACAAAGUGCAAGGAAUACGCUGCUAGUUGGUUUAUUUACUGACCGAAAAUGGUUGGAGUUCUUAGUUUUGAGGCAAUAAGGAAUCUUAUUUGUUUCCAGUAACUGAACUGCUGAUCAUUGACCAGAACCAAUCAAUUGGUGCAUCUCUAUUAAAUGUCAGAAUAAAAUAUGACUACCUAA